AUACGAAUGGUGCGAGCGUUGUUCGGAAUCACUGGGCAUAAAGAGCACGUAGGCGGUGGCGUAAGUCAGUUGUGAAAUCCCUCGGCUCAACCGAGGAACUGCAACUGAAACUGCGCCGCUAGAGUGCGGGAGGGGGGAGUGGAAUUCCAGGUGGAGCGGUGAAAUGCGUAGAUAUCUGGAGGAACGCCGGAGGCGAAAGCGACUCUCUGGUCCGCAACUGACGCUGAGGUGCGAAAGCUAGGGGAGCGAACAGGAUUAGAAACCCCUGUAGUCC
rnacentral:rRNA from 1 species